rnacentral:rRNA from 1 species
GACUCUCGCAACGGAUAUCUCGGCUCUCGCAUCGAUGAAGAACGUAGCGAAAUGCGAUACUUGGUGUGAAUUGCAGAAUCCCGUGAACCAUCGAGUCUUUGAACGCAAGUUGCGCCCGAGGCCUCCUGGUCGAGGCACGUCUGCCUGGGUGUCA